UUAACUCAAUUUUGUAUGGAGUUGGAACGUUUGGCUACGUUUGCCGCUAGAGGCGCUGUUCCAACUCCAUACAAAUUUGAGUUA
rnacentral:pre_miRNA from 1 species